rnacentral:rRNA from 1 species
UACGGAGGGUGCAAGCGUUAUUCGGAUUCAUUGGGUUUAAAGGGCGCGUAGGUGGGCAAGUAAGUCAGUGGUGAAAUCUCCGGGCUUAACCCGGAAACUGCCAUUGAUACUAUUUGUCUUGAAUACUGUGGAGGUCAGCAGAAUAUGUCAUGUAGCGGUGAAAUGCUUAGAUAUGACAUAGAACACCAAUUGCGAAGGCAGCUGGCUGCACAAAUAUUGACACUGAGGCACGAAAGCGUGGGGAUCAAACAGG